GAAGAUGAAGAAAAACUCCAUGAAGGCGGAACGUGACUCCAUGAAGGCGGAACCGUCUGAAGUUUUGAACAUGUACCCUCAACAUGUCACUGACAAUGACCAUGACCAUCCCCUUGAACCUGACUCUGCCUAUGUCUCUGACAAUGAGUCCGCUAAAAGUAUUGUGUUAAACCCUAGCAUGGCAAUCCCAACACUGGCAUGACAGUCCCAACACAGGAAUGGCCGUUCCUAGUGGCUCUGUGUCCUCAGUGCCACAAUCAUAUGCAGGGCUUUUGGGGGAUCUAAGGUGUGGCCUACUCUGGACCUUUUUGGCAGGGGGGGUGACUUUCUGGUGUUUUAGGGGUCAUGCAGACGAAGUCUAGUUUGCCUGAACUCGGAGAGAACCGUCUCCGGAUAGCCCUAUCGUGCAGACGAACCCCUGUAUCCCCUGUAUCAAUUAAAGGUGUGGGGUCUCUGAUGUGUGGGUGAAUGUGAAUGUGUCACUCUUUCUGUGGGGGGAAGGGAUGUGGACAGUAGAUCUACUUGAGGGGCGUUUGAUAGGUCUGAAGGUGUGUGCAUGAAAGCAUAGGCACCAGACCCAUGGUGUGACUGGAAGAGAUCAGUUGAUAUAUUGAAAUAUAUGUGAAGCCUACAAAUACACUGAAGACAGUUGAUAGUAUUUGACGCAGUGCCAGUAUGCUUUUUAAGACUGAUGUAAGGAUAACAAAUGUAAUAACAAAUUGUAUAGAAAUCAUGUUGUUGUUGUUUUUCACCCCCUCUUCUGUUAGUAGAUUUAAAGUCCUACCUGUCCAUUACGUCACGUGUUUUGAUGCGUAUCCCACCUCCUCCCUAUUCUCCUCCUUUUCACUACUAGUAUAAGCUCACUUUACCCCUUAUCCAUAGCGGACAUUACUCACACACACACACACUUCCGAUGGGCGUGUUGUGUGCUGUGAGAAAUUUUACAUAUGUCUGCAAGUUACUGCAUCGCUUUAAGUCCAAUGAACUAUAGAAUUUCUGCUAUGGGCUUACCUUCUUUCUUUUUUAAAUAUUUUUUUAUUUUAUAAACACUUGAAAGCAUUAUUUCAGUGCAGUGCUUCAGUCGGAUGGACUUCUGCUAUGGGUUUACCUACUUCUUUUUAAGUUGUUAAAAUAGUUUAUAUGAUUAUAAACUCAUGUAAAAAGCAUUCUUUCAGUUCUGUGCAAAUGAAUAUGUUAUGUCUUCCGUUUUUAUGUUGCUGUGAAAGGACUGCAACAAAAAAAGCCAUUUUAAGGCUUAAGAUGUUUAUACUGAAUAAAGAUAUUUGGUACAAACACGUUUGUAAUAUGUUGUCAGAAAUGCUACAUAUGCUUGCAAAUUACUCCAUAGCUUUAAGUCCAAUGGACUUAAUAGAAUUGAUGCUUUAUACUUUACAUAUUUUCUUGUUAAGCUGUACGUGAAAUUAAUUUUUUAUUUAAUAAUCGCC